CGGACGGGUGAGUAACGCGUGAGAAUCUGGCUCUAGGUCUGGGACAACCACUGGAAACGGUGGCUAAUACCGGAUGUGCCGAGAGGUGAAAGGUUAACUGCCUAGAGAUGAGCUCGCGUCUGAUUAGCUAGUUGGAAGUGUAAUGGACUCCCAAGGCGACGAUCAGUAGCUGGUCUGAGAGGACGAUCAGCCACACUGGGACUGAGACACGGCCUAGACUCCUACGGGAGGCAGCAGUGGGGAAUUUUCCGCAAUGGGCGAAAGCCUGACGGAGCAAUACCGCGUGAGGGAGGAAGGCUCUUGGGUCGUAAACCUCUUUUCUCAGGGAAGAACACAAUGACGGUACUUGAGGAAUAAGCAUCGGCUAACUCCGUGCCAGCAGCCGCGGUAAUACGGAGGAUGCAAGCGUUAUCCGGAAUGAUUGGGCGUAAAGCGUCCGCAGGUGGCAAUGUAAGUCUGCUGUUAAAGAGUCUAGCUCAACUAGAUAAGAGCAGUGGAAACUACAUAGCUAGAGUACGUUCGGGGCAGAGGGAAUUCCUGGUGUAGCGGUGAAAUGCGUAGAGAUCAGGAAGAACACCGGUGGCGAAGGCGCUCUGCUAGGCCGUAACUGACACUGAGGGACGAAAGCUAGGGGAGCGAAUGGGAUUAGAUACCCCAGUAGUC
rnacentral:rRNA from 1 species